UACGGAGGAUGCAAGCGUUAUCCGGAAUGAUUGGGCGUAAAGGGUCCGCAGGUGGCAAUGUAAGUCUGCUGUCAAAGAAUGAGGCUUAACCUCAUCAAGGCAGUGGAAACUACAUAGCUAGAGUACGGUCGGGGUAGAAGGAAUUCCUGGUGUAGCGGUGAAAUGCGUAGAGAUCAGGAAGGACACCGGUGGCGAAAGCGUUCUGCUAGACCUGUACUGACACUGAGGGACGAAAGCUAGGGGAGCGAAUGGG
rnacentral:rRNA from 1 species